UAAGCGACUAAGCGUACACGGUGGAUGCCCUGGCAGUCAGAGGCGAUGAAGGACGUGCUAAUCUGCGAUAAGCGUCGGUAAGGUGAUAUGAACCGUUAUAACCGGCGAUUUCCGAAUGGGGAAACCUAGUGUGAUUCGUCACACUAUCAUUAACUGAAUCCAUAGGUUAAUGAGGCGAACCGGGGGAACUGAAACAUCUAAGUACCCCGAGGAAAAGAAAUCAACCGAGAUUCCCCCAGUAGCGGCGAGCGAACGGGGAGCAGCCCAGAGCCUGAAUCAGUGUGUGUGUUAGUGGAAGCGUCUGGAAAGGCGCGCGAUACAGGGUGACAGCCCCGUACACAAAAAUGCACAUGCUGUGAGCUCGAUGAGUAGGGCGGGACACGUGGUAUCCUGUCUGAAUAUGGGGGGACCAUCCUCCAAGGCUAAAUACUCCUGACUGACCGAUAGUGAACCAGUACCGUGAGGGCAAGGCGAAAAGAACCCCGGCGAGGGGAGUGAAAAAGAACCUGAAACCGUGUACGUACAAGCAGUGGGAGCCUCUUUUAUGGGGUGACUGCGUACCUUUUGUAUAAUGGGUCAGCGACUUAUAUUCUGUAGCAAGGUUAACCGAAUAGGGGAGCCGAAGGGAAACCGAGUCUUAACUGGGCGUUAAGUUGCAGGGUAUAGACCCGAAACCCGGUGAUCUAGCCAUGGGCAGGUUGAAGGUUGGGUAACACUAACUGGAGGACCGAACCGACUAAUGUUGAAAAUUAGCGGAUGACUUGUGGCUGGGGGUGAAAGGCCAAUCAAACCGGGAGAUAGCUGGUUCUCCCCGAAAGCUAUUUAGGUAGCGCCUCGUGAAUUCAUCUCCGGGGGUAGAGCACUGUUUCGGCAAGGGGGUCAUCCCGACUUACCAACCCGAUGCAAACUGCGAAUACCGGAGAAUGUUAUCACGGGAGACACACGGCGGGUGCUAACGUCCGUCGUGAAGAGGGAAACAACCCAGACCGCCAGCUAAGGUCCCAAAGUCAUGGUUAAGUGGGAAACGAUGUGGGAAGGCCCAGACAGCCAGGAUGUUGGCUUAGAAGCAGCCAUCAUUUAAAGAAAGCGUAAUAGCUCACUGGUCGAGUCGGCCUGCGCGGAAGAUGUAACGGGGCUAAACCAUGCACCGAAGCUGCGGCAGCGACACUGUGUGUUGUUGGGUAGGGGAGCGUUCUGUAAGCCUGUGAAGGUGUGCUGUGAGGUAUGCUGGAGGUAUCAGAAGUGCGAAUGCUGACAUAAGUAACGAUAAAGCGGGUGAAAAGCCCGCUCGCCGGAAGACCAAGGGUUCCUGUCCAACGUUAAUCGGGGCAGGGUGAGUCGACCCCUAAGGCGAGGCCGAAAGGCGUAGUCGAUGGGAAACAGGUUAAUAUUCCUGUACUUGGUGUUACUGCGAAGGGGGACGGAGAAGGCUAUGUUGGCCGGGCGACGGUUGUCCCGGUUUAAGCGUGUAGGCUGGUUUUCCAGGCAAAUCCGGAAAAUCAAGGCUGAGGCGUGAUGACGAGGCACUACGGUGCUGAAGCAACAAAUGCCCUGCUUCCAGGAAAAGCCUCUAAGCAUCAGGUAACAUCAAAUCGUACCCCAAACCGACACAGGUGGUCAGGUAGAGAAUACCAAGGCGCUUGAGAGAACUCGGGUGAAGGAACUAGGCAAAAUGGUGCCGUAACUUCGGGAGAAGGCACGCUGAUAUGUAGGUGAAGUCCCUCGCGGAUGGAGCUGAAAUCAGUCGAAGAUACCAGCUGGCUGCAACUGUUUAUUAAAAACACAGCACUGUGCAAACACGAAAGUGGACGUAUACGGUGUGACGCCUGCCCGGUGCCGGAAGGUUAAUUGAUGGGGUCAGCGCAAGCGAAGCUCUUGAUCGAAGCCCAGGUAAACGGCGGCCGUAACUAUAACGGUCCUAAGGUAGCGAAAUUCCUUGUCGGGUAAGUUCCGACCUGCACGAAUGGCGUAAUGAUGGCCAGGCUGUCUCCACCCGAGACUCAGUGAAAUUGAACUCGCUGUGAAGAUGCAGUGUACCCGCGGCAAGACGGAAAGACCCCGUGAACCUUUACUAUAGCUUGACACUGAACAUUGAGCCUUGAUGUGUAGGAUAGGUGGGAGGCUUUGAAGUGUGGACGCCAGUCUGCAUGGAGCCGACCUUGAAAUACCACCCUUUAAUGUUUGAUGUUCUAACGUGGACCCGUGAUCCGGGUUGCGGACAGUGUCUGGUGGGUAGUUUGACUGGGGCGGUCUCCUCCUAAAGAGUAACGGAGGAGCACGAAGGUUGGCUAAUCCUGGUCGGACAUCAGGAGGUUAGUGCAAUGGCAUAAGCCAGCUUGACUGCGAGCGUGACGGCGCGAGCAGGUGCGAAAGCAGGUCAUAGUGAUCCGGUGGUUCUGAAUGGAAGGGCCAUCGCUCAACGGAUAAAAGGUACUCCGGGGAUAACAGGCUGAUACCGCCCAAGAGUUCAUAUCGACGGCGGUGUUUGGCACCUCGAUGUCGGCUCAUCACAUCCUGGGGCUGAAGUAGGUCCCAAGGGUAUGGCUGUUCGCCAUUUAAAGUGGUACGCGAGCUGGGUUUAGAACGUCGUGAGACAGUUCGGUCCCUAUCUGCCGUGGGCGCUGGAGAACUGAGGGGGGCUGCUCCUAGUACGAGAGGACCGGAGUGGACGCAUCACUGGUGUUCGGGUUGUCAUGCCAAUGGCACUGCCCGGUAGCUAAAUGCGGAAGAGAUAAGUGCUGAAAGCAUCUAAGCACGAAACUUGCCCCGAGAUGAGUUCUCCCUGACCCUUUAAGGGUCCUGAAGGAACGUUGAAGACGACGACGUUGAUAGGCCGGGUGUGUAAGCGCAGCGAUGCGUUGAGCUAACCGGUACUAAUGAACCGUGAGGCUUAACCU
rnacentral:rRNA from 1 species